AGAGGUUCUUAUAUCUGAGUAUAUAAUGGAAUCACCAAAGUGACUUUAAAAAUGAUCAGUGAGGAAGCCCCACUCCCCAGAGAUCUGACCUCAUUAUCCUGGGGUGGCCAAGAUAGAGGUACAGCCUUCUGUGUGUGUGUUUGUUUGUUUGCUUGCUUGCUUGUUUGUUUUUAUGGCCCCACUUGCAGCAUAAGGAAGUUCCAGGCUAGGGGUUGAAUUGGGCCUGCAGCAGCAGGCCUGCACCAUAGCCAUAACAAUGCCAGAUCCGAGCCACGUCUGUGACCUAUACCACAUCUUGUAGCAACACCGGAUCCUUAACCCACUGAGACAGGCCAGGGAUCAAACCCACAUCUUCGCAGAGGCAAUGUUGGGUCCUUAACCCACUGAGCCAUAUGGGAACUCCCUGUGUGCGUAGUUUUAAGUCUGCUAGUGAUUCCACUGUGACACCAAGGUGAAGAGUUGCUGCUACUCUAGAGGAAACUAGAAUCAGCUCGGGAGCACAAGGCAGUGGUAAAGGCCUGGCUGGGGAAGUGGAAAAGGAGCCAGGGAAAAGACUGGGAAAUGUAGUUUUAGGAAACAGGGGACAUUAGGAUUAGAGAGAGCGUAUUCCAUAAUAAACCAGGCAAAGAUUUUUUCCUAAGAAAUAAUUAGCUGCAGAGAGCUGGGUUAGAAAGCAGAACAGAUAUGAAAAUAGCUGCAGUCUGUCCAGACAUUGAAGUUCCCUGGUGGCCUAGUAGUUAAGAAUCUGGCAUUGUCACUGCUGCAGCGUGGGUUCAGUCCCUGGCCCAGGAACUUCUGCACACCAUGGGUGCAGCCAAAAAUAAAAUAAAAUAAAAUAAAAGCCACUAGAAGCAGUCUUCUCCCUCCUGGGGCCUGAGGACUUUUGAACAUGGAUUUGUCCUGUGCUGUGUAGGAAUGCAUCCCCAGGUAUGAACAACUGUAGACCUGGUUGCCAAGAAUUGCCCAGAGGCCACAGCCUAAUUUCUUUCCAUAGUUUUUCUGAUAGACCAGUGUCACCCUGUGAAUGUCACUUCCCAUUCUGAGUUGGAUGUAAGUAGAAGUCCACUUCUAUACUGAGGAGCGGAUCAAGAUGCUUCCAGUAGUCUCCAAGCAGGGGCGCUGUUCUAAUUAAGAGAUCAUGUAGGCGGCCUGGAAGUGUUACAGUUGGCCCCAAGCCUUCUGGAGUUUGAUUGCAGUUUCAGGAUUCUGUUGUUGAAGGAACAAGCCACUAAAUGUUCCUUCUGGGGAAAAAAAAUUUUUUUAAGAGGUAAUUUUGUAUGAAAAGAAUGUGGUGUGUUGUUCACCAGGGUUUUCUAGCAAAUGAGAACAGAGAGAAAGAGAAUAGUAAGGGCAGAAAGGUGGGCAAGAGAGAAAGCCUACACCUACAUGAAUAGAUCAGCAAGCACAGGGCCAUACAUUCUUUUUUUUCCCCUCUUUUGGCUACCCCAAGGCACAUGGAGUUUCCCAGGCCACGCAUCAGAUCUGAGCCAAAGCUGUAACCUAUGCCACAGCUGUGGCAACAUCAGCUCCUUAACCCACUGUGCCAGACCAGGGAAUGAACCUGAGACCCAGUGCUGCAGAGACACCUCUGAUCCCCUUGUACCACACCGGGAACUCCAGGGACCAUACACUGUAAUUUUUGUACCUCUUUUGAAAAUACUGGUCCGGUUGGCUGUGGCAUACCUCAGAAACAUAAGGGUCUUCAGCUAAUUACCAGCUUUGCAUAUUACAACCUGAUUCAAGACCUUGAUCUAGACCAGGAGGACCUUGUGUCCCCCAUUGCCCUUUCAUGCUGAGCCUCUGAUAAAUGCCAGAGCCUUAGGAACUGCCCCCUGGUACAUUCUGCUCCUGACAGCUCUCAGGUUAGUCAUGAGCCCAUGCUUGGGACUGACGUGGGUGCCCAUGUCCUUGGCUUCUCUGCCUCAGUUUAUGAGGCUGACACCUGGGUAGGGGAGUUUGUCAGAGGUGACCAGAUAUAAGAUGUCAUGUGAACCCAGAAGUAUGGCUUUGCUUGGAUCUUAGGAUACGCAUGGCUCCCAAGAACAGGCCUCUUUGUAGAAAUAUGCUGGUGAGCUUUGUGGGUGACUCAUACAGCUUAGGCGCCCCGUUCCCUCAGAAAUCCUAGAAUGCAUCCCUCUACCAUGUUCCUGGAGGCUGCAAAUGAUUAUUGUACUAGUUGCUUCAUAAGCAGUAGUAUAAACUUAAAUACCAAACCUCUUCAUUUUUCCUUUCUUCCUGUCUUCUUUGGUCUCUCUCUCUUUCCUUCUUUCCCUGCCCCCUCCCUCCUUUCCCUUCCCUCCCGUCCUUCUGUCCUUCCUUUCUUCCCUCCUUCCCUCCCUCUGUCCUUCUCUCUUUCCUUCCAUCCUUCCUUCCAUUCUUCCUUCCUUCCCUUUCUUCUUCACCCUCCCUCCCUCUCUCCUUCCUUCCCUCCUUCCCUCCCUCUCUCCUUCCUUCCAUUCUACCUUCCUUCCCUCCCUCCAUCUCUCCUUCCCUCCCUCCUUCCUUCCUUCCUGUUUACUAGAUAUUUACUAUACGUCAGCUUUGGCUUAGGCACUGUGGAUAAAGUGGUGAGCUGCAAAGGACAUAGACAUGUUCUUAUGGAGUUUGCAGACCAGGGAGAACAGGGUGGCUGGCAAGGAGACAGAAGUGAAUCAAAUAAUGUCCUAAUGAAGGUAUAAUUAUAAACUCAUGCUAGUUCUCCUAAAGAAACAAAUACUUGUCCAUGAGGGUAUAUUAAAGAGCAGUGACUGGGGAAUCUGAAAAGGCUUCUUGGAUGAAGUUAUUCGGAAGCUGAGAUGUGAUGGGUGGAAAAGAAUCCAAAAAGAGGAGGCAGCUUGUGUAAAGGCCCUUCAGUAAAAGGAAUCAUAAAGAACCUGGGAAGAGGAGCAUGGGGCUAGCAGGGAGUGAGGGGAGAAAGAAGGGUUGAGGCGGGAGAGAUGGGUGAGGUCGGAUCAUGUAGGGACUUGAGGGCUGCGUUAAAAUCUGUGAGAAGAUAUUGACUGGUUUUAAGUGGAGGUGAGUGACAGAGUUUUGAUUUGAAAAAAAAAAUUACUCUGAUUGCUGUCUAGGGACACAUUGGGGAGAAGGAUGAAACAAAAGUGAGAAGACCAGUGAAAAGCUUAUUGUUGAAAUCUAGGCAAGAGAGGACAGUGGGUAAGAUUAACCAUGUUAGUGGGGAAAAUAUAGAUGCAGUUAAUUCCCAAGACGUCUAGCUUUACCAUGUAUAGUGUUGAUUGGAUUUGAGAUUGAGGAAGAAGGAGAAGUCAGGCAUGCCCCCGCUAGCCUUCUGUCCUGCAAAACUCCAAGAGGAGGACAAGGUUUGUUGUUGUUUGGCAUGAGUGUACAGUGCACACCAUGAGUUAAUUUUGACUGUCUUAAGUCUGAAUAUUUUUGGAAAACUUUAGAACAGAUGUUCACCAAGUACAGCCUCAAAGCUGACCUGUGAAAUUCCUUCCUGAUACACUCACAUACAAGUCUCCUAGAAGUAGCUGUCCAUCGCCCCCUGGAGGAACUUUCCACUUUGUAGCUUAUCUCCACUGAUGAUAGAGCCUUACCUGGAAGCAUGGUCCACCAUCCCGUGAGUUUAAUUUAUCCCUAGAACCAGGGGAUGUUGUGCUUCUGUCUCCAAACCCACAUGUAUAUCUGUACCCAGUUUAUCCUACCAGGGGCUGCUAUGGUUUUACGAGUCAUUUGGGGCAGUGGGAGAAAUCCUGAGUGGAUGAAAUUGAUUCCCAGUUGGACUCAGUCAUCACUGGCUGUGUGACUUGGCCAUUGCGAUUUCGCUAGAUCAAUAUUUCCUCCUGUGCGAGAGAAGCAGUUGAGCUAGACAGUCUGUAAGAGUCCUUCUGACUCUAAAAUCUCAUUGAUUCUAAUUUCUAAUCUCAAUCUGUACCAAUCAAGUCCCUUGGGGAAUGGAGAUAAAUGUUUCUAGGUAUAGGGAUUAAUCUUUGGCCUUUUCAGAAUCUGACAUGUUUGGUUUUCCCAAAGGGACUUUAAAUUAUCCAUCUUUCAUUUGUCAGCCUUAACCAGGUUACUUAUCAUUUCUAGCAACUUUUAAAUAGGGAGGGAGAAAUAUUUUUCUUAAAUGCCAGCUUUGACUCAUGGGCCAGGGUUCCCUGUUGAGGAUUUUGAUGCAGCAUCUUGGCUGAAAGGAGAAAGUUCCAUAAUUGACUGGUGAUGUCUGUCAUUGAUGUCUGAAGGGAAGUGGUGGCAUCUGAAAUGUCAUGUCUCCUCCCCACAGUUCUAAGAUCUGGUUCCUCUAUUUGCCCUGCCAAUGCAUGAGCACUCUCUGGUGGUUAAAAAAGUAAUUGCAGGAUUAUACUUUCCCAAAUUUAUUCUAGAACUGAAAUUGUCCUCUAUCUUGUAUUGUUUUAUUGUGUUGAAUUCUAAUGUCAUUUCCAACAAUUUGCUGGGAUAGUGAGGGGGGUGGCUAUAUGUCUAGGUCACUUUGUUUACUGGUGAACACAGUUUUGCACUUCCUGUGGAAAAUAUACUCUCCUUUUCUGUUUUCAAAAGGAAAACCUAAUGAAAUAAAUCUUUCUUUGUGGGUUGAAAAUCAUGUAGGAUCUCAGGGUUAGUCUUCCAAACUAGUACUUCUCAACUUUAAUGUACAUAUUUAUCAAAUGGGAUCUUGUUAAAAUCCAGAUUCGUGGAAUCUAAUCCCAGAGAUUCUGAUUCAGUAGGUAUGGAUAGGUAUUCUGACAAGUCCCUUGUCUGGUACCACACUUAGAAUAGCUAAUGUCUCAGGAGUUGCUGCUGUGGUAUAGAGAGUUAAGGAUCCAGCGUUAUCUCUGCAACAGCUCAGGUUCAAUCCCCAGCCUGGUGCAGUGGGUUAAGGAUCCAGCAUUGCUACAGAUAUGGAAUAGGUUGCAGCUCUAACUCAUAUUUAAUCCCUGGCCGGGGGAACUUCCAUAUGCCAUGGGUGUG
rnacentral:lncRNA from 1 species